rnacentral:rRNA from 1 species
GACGAACGCUGGCGGCGUGCUUAACACAUGCAAGUCGAACGGAAAGGCCCUGCUUUUGUGGGGUGCUCGAGUGGCGAACGGGUGAGUAACACGUGAGUAACCUGCCCUUGACUUUGGGAUAACUUCAGGGAACUGGGGCUAAUACCGGAUAGGAGCUCCUGCUGCAUGGUGGGGGUUGGAAAGUUUCGGCGGUUGGGGAUGGACUCGCGGCUUAUCAGCUUGUUGGUGGGGCAGUGGCUUACCAAGGCUUUGACGGGUAGCCGGCCUGAGAGGGUGACCGGCCACAUUGGGACUGAGAUACGGCCCAGACUCCUACGGGAGGCAGCAGUGGGGAAUAUUGCACAAUGGGCGGAAGCCUGAUGCAGCAACGCCGCGUGCGGGAUGACGGCCUUCGGGUUGUAAACCGCUUCCGCCUGUGACGAAGCGUGAGUGACGGUAAUGGGUAAAGAAGCACCGGCUAACUACGUG